GUGGGGAAUAUUGGACAAUGGGCGAAAGCCUGAUCCAGCCAUGCCGCGUGUGUGAAGAAGGUCUUCGGAUUGUAAAGCACUUUAAGUUGGGAGGAAGGGCAGUAAGUUAAUACCUUGCUGUUUUGACGUUACCGACAGAAUAAGCACCGGCUAACUUCGUGCGAGCAGCCGCGGUAAUACGAAGGGUGCAAGCGUUAAUCGGAAUUACUGGGCGUAAAGCGCGCGUAGGUGGUUUUGUAAGUUGGAGGUGAAAUCCCCGGGCUCAACCUGGGAACUGCCUCCAAAACUGCAGGACUAGAGUACGGUAGAGGGUAGUGGAAUUUCCUGUGUAGCGGUGAAAUGCGUAGAUAUAGGAAGGAACACCAGUGGCGAAGGCGACUACCUGGACUGAUACUGACACUGAGGUGCGAAAGCGUGGGGAGCAAACAGGAUUAGAUACCCUAGUAGUCC
rnacentral:rRNA from 1 species